AUGGACUACAUGAGGCGACGACAGCACAUCAACUGGUGCAUGCUCUGACCGUGUGCUGCAAAAAUAUCUGAAGUGGCCGCAAACACUACAACGAGAAGCACAACGCACGCCUACAGUGCAUAACAUCUCACCCAGGCUUUCAGUCCGUCUACUCUGGACAGAUGGGUAGCCUAUUGGAGACAGCUUACUACCAAUGCGUGCCCAGCAGGAUCCAUCUGAAAAUGAGAAGCUCAGGCAUACUGCAUAUCGGCAGUUGGUGAGAUGGUGCUUGGAGUUACAAGGCUGCCUUGUUGGGUUCCACUGCCAUCCUGUGCAGUCACAAAGAUCCAGCAGACCUUCCAAUCCACACAACAUACGUGUUUCCAGGAUGUGAUGUA